rnacentral:rRNA from 1 species
GACGAACGCUGGCGGCGUGCUUAACACAUGCAAGUCGAACGAGAAGGCGUAGCAAUACGCUUGUAGAGCGGCGAACGGGUGAGUAACACGUGAGCAACCUGCCCCGAAGUCUGGAAUAACAUCGGGAAACCGGUGCUAAUACCGGAUUGCCCCACCUGACCGCAUGAUCGGGUGAGGAAAGAUUUAUCGCUUCGGGAGGGGCUCGCGGCCUAUCAGCUAGUUGGCGGGGUAACGGCCCACCAAGGCGUCGACGGGUAGCUGGUCUGAGAGGACGACCAGCCACACUGGGACUGAGACACGGCCCAGACUCCUACGGGAGGCAGCAGUGGGGAAUAUUGGACAAUGGGCGCAAGCCUGAUCCAGCGAUGCCGCGUGUGUGAAGAAGGCCUGCGGGUUGUAAAGCACUUUCAGUAGGGAAGAAAGCCGAGUGCUAAUAUCACUCGGUCUUG